rnacentral:rRNA from 1 species
UUAAGUUAAUAAGGGCGCACGGUGGAUGCCUUGGCACUAGAAGCCGAUGAAGGACGUGACUAACGACGAAAUGCUUUGGGGAGCUGUAAGUGAGCAAUGAUCCAGAGAUGUCCGAAUGGGGGAACCCGGCAGGUAAUGCCUGUCACUCAUUACUGUUAAGGUAAUGUAGAGGAAGACGCAGUGAACUGAAACAUCUAAGUAGCUGCAGGAAGAGAAAGCAAAAGCGAUUGCCUUAGUAGCGGCGAGCGAAACGGCAAGAGGGCAAACCGAAGAGUUUACUCUUCGGGGUUGUAGGACUGCAACGUGGACUUAAAGAUUAUAGAAGAACUACCUGGGAAGGUAGGCCAAAGAGAGUAAUAGCCUCGUAUUCGAAAUAGUCUUUAUACCUAGCAGUAUCCUGAGUACGGCGAGACACGAGAAAUCUCGUCGGAAUCUGGGAGGACCAUCUCCCAACCCUAAAUACUCUCUAGUGACCGAUAGUGAACCAGUACCGUGAGGGAAAGGUGAAAAGCACCCCGGGAGGGGAGUGAAAUAGAACCUGAAACCGUGUGCCUACAACAAGUUCGAGCCCGUUAAUGGGUGAGAGCGUGCCUUUUGUAGAAUGAACCGGCGAGUUACGAUAUGAUGCGAGGUUAAGUUGAAGAGACGGAGCCGUAGGGAAACCGAGUCUUAAUAGGGCGCAUUAGUAUCAUGUCGUAGACCCGAAACCAUGUGACCUACCCAUGAGCAGGUUGAAGGUGAGGUAAAACUCACUGGAGGACCGAACCAGGGCACGUUGAAAAGUGCUUGGAUGACUUGUGGGUAGCGGAGAAAUUCCAAACGAACUUGGAGAUAGCUGGUUCUCUCCGAAAUAGCUUUAGGGCUAGCGUCGAUGUUAAGUCUCUUGGAGGUAGAGCACUGUUUGGGUGAGGGGUCCAUCCCGGAUUACCAAUCUCAGAUAAACUCCGAAUGCCAACGAGAUAUAAUCGGCAGUCAGACUGCGAGUGCUAAGAUCCGUAGUCGAAAGGGAAACAGCCCAGACCACCAGCUAAGGUCCCAAAAUAUAUGUUAAGUGGAAAAGGAUGUGGGGUUGCACAGACAACUAGGAUGUUAGCUUAGAAGCAGCUAUUCAUUCAAAGAGUGCGUAAUAGCUCACUAGUCGAGUGACCCUGCGCCGAAAAUGUACCGGGGCUAAAACAUAUUACCGAAGCUGUGGAUACCUUUAUAGGUAUGGUAGGAGAGCGUUCUAUGUGCGAAGAAGGUGUACCGUGAGGAGUGCUGGAGCGCAUAGAAGUGAGAAUGCCGGUAUGAGUAGCGAAAGACAGGUGAGAAUCCUGUCCACCGUAAGACUAAGGUUUCCAGGGGAAGGCUCGUCCGCCCUGGGUUAGUCGGGACCUAAGGAGAGACCGAAAGGUGUAUCCGAUGGACAACAGGUUGAUAUUCCUGUACUAGAGUAUAUAGUGAUGGAGGGACGCAGUAGGCUAACUAAACCAGACGAUUGGAAGUGUCUGGCCAAGCAGUGAGGUGUGAUAUGAGUCAAAUGCUUAUAUCUAUAACAUUGAGCUGUGAUGGGGAGCGAAGUUUAGUAGCGAAGUUAGUGAUGUCACACUGCCAAGAAAAGCUUCUAGCGUUAAUUAUACUCUACCCGUACCGCAAACCGACACAGGUAGUCGAGGCGAGUAGCCUCAGGUGAGCGAGAGAACUCUCGUUAAGGAACUCGGCAAAAUGGCCCCGUAACUUCGGGAGAAGGGGCGCUGACUUAUGGUCAGCCGCAGUGAAUAGGCCCAAGCAACUGUUUAUCAAAAACACAGCUCUCUGCUAAAUCGUAAGAUGAUGUAUAGGGGGUGACGCCUGCCCGGUGCUGGAAGGUUAAGAGGAGUGCUUAGCGUAAGCGAAGGUAUGAAUUGAAGCCCCAGUAAACGGCGGCCGUAACUAUAACGGUCCUAAGGUAGCGAAAUUCCUUGUCGGGU